rnacentral:rRNA from 1 species
CCUACGGGAGGCAGCAGUAGGGAAUAUUGCUCAAUGGGGGAAACCCUGAAGCAGCAACGCCGCGUGGAGGAUGAAGGUUUUCGGAUUGUAAACUCCUUUUGUUAGAGAAGAUAAUGACGGUAUCUAACGAAUAAGCACCGGCUAACUCCGUGCCAGCAGCCGCGGUAAUACGGAGGGUGCAAGCGUUACUCGGAAUCACUGGGCGUAAAGAGCGCGUAGGCGGGAUAGCAAGUCAGAUGUGAAAUCCUAUGGCUUAACCAUAAAACUGCAUUGGAAACUGUUAGUCUAGAGUAUGGGAGAGGUAGGUGGAAUUCGUGGUGUAGGGGUAAAAUGCGUAGAGAUCAAGAGGAAUACUCAUUGCGAAGGCGACCUGCUAGAACAUAACUGACGCUGAUGCGCGAAAGCGUGGGGAGCAAACAGGAUUAGAUACCCCGGUAGUC